GGAUUGUGGCUCAGUGGUAGAGCACUUGCCUACCAUGUAUAAGGCACUGGGUUCGAUCCUCAGCACCA
rnacentral:tRNA from 1 species